AUUGAACGCUGGCGGCAUGCCUUACACAUGCAAGUCGAACGGUAACAGGUCUUCGGAUGCUGACGAGUGGCGAACGGGUGAGUAAUACAUCGGAACGUGCCUAGUAGUGGGGGAUAACCACUCGAAAGAGUGGCUAAUACCGCAUGGUAUCUACGGAUGAAAGCAGGGGAUCGCAAGACCUUGUGCUACUAGAGCGGCCGAUGGCAGAUUAGGUAGUUGGUGGGAUAAAAGCUUACCAAGCCGACGAUCUGUAGCUGGUCUGAGAGGACGAUCAGCCACACUGGGACUGAGACACGGCCCAGACUCCUACGGGAGGCAGCAGUGGGGAAUUUUGGACAAUGGGCGCAAGCCUGAUCCAGCAACGCCGCGUGCAGGAUGAAGGCCUUCGGGUUGUAAACUGCUUUCGUACGGAACGAAAAGCCCCGGGUUAAUACCCUGGGGUCAUGACGGUACCGUAAGAAUAAGCACCGGCUAACUACGUGCCAGCCGCCGCAGUAA
rnacentral:rRNA from 1 species